GGCGAGGCUCUGGUUAGCACACGGGCCUGUGACGGCCUCAGACAGGCUCACAUCUGACAUGAGCUUGUUGAUGUUGUGGCAGCUGUUGAUCUCACUUACGUGUUUUCGUUCAAUUCAAGCCGCUUCUCUGCAUUUCCUGGCUGCUCACGGAUCCCGUUGCCUCACCCUGACACUAAAAUUAGCGCCGCAGCUCUGGAUCUUUUAACGUAUGAUGUAAAAAUAGCAGCGAGGGAAGUCUGACCACCACACAGCAGAUAUCCAGAGCAGACGGAGUGUAAGGCGUUUAACUUAACGUUAACUGUUACUGGUCACAGCAGGGAAUGUAAACAGACAAACAGACUUUAAGAGGGAAAGAGACAGAAAGACAUCAGCGUGACGCCUGUUGCGUCAUCGUUUGACCAGUUGGUCUUCAACAAGAGAUCGACUGCACUCAAGACGGAACCAAAACCAGAUUAAUAAUAUUAUCCAUCUUGUUUUGUAGGCAACAGGAUGUUGUCAAAAAAGGAUUCGAAGAGAACUUUCAGCAACGGGUCGCUCAGAGACCAAUGGGAGCAGAAGGCUCAGAGCGUGGCCGACCAGUGCAAACAGGAGGCCGAAUGGAAGAAGAAAAGUUCCCACAAAAUCUCAAUUACAGCUUAAAGACAAGCAACACCGAAGCUGCAGCUACACCCUCGUGACGGACGCGAGCUCUGUGUCUUGCAGUGUUAUGUGCUGAAUCUCUAAACAG
ensembl:lncRNA